rnacentral:rRNA from 1 species
GGACGGGUGAGUAACACGUGGGUAACCUGCCCAAGAGACUGGGAUAACACCUGGAAACAGAUGCUAAUACCGGAUAACAACACUAGACGCAUGUCUAGAGUUUAAAAGAUGGUUCUGCUAUCACUCUUGGAUGGACCUGCGGUGCAUUAGCUAGUUGGUAAGGUAACGGCUUACCAAGGCAAUGAUGCAUAGCCGAGUUGAGAGACUGAUCGGCCACAUUGGGACUGAGACACGGCCCAAACUCCUACGGGAGGCAGCAGUAGGGAAUCUUCCACAAUGGACGCAAGUCUGAUGGAGCAACGCCGCGUGAGUGAAGAAGGGUUUCGGCUCGUAAAGCUCUGUUGGUAGUGAAGAAAGAUAGAGGUAGUAACUGGCCUUUAUUUGACGGUAAUUACUUAGAAAGUCACGGCUAACUACGUGCCAGCAGCCGCGGUAAUACGUAGGUGGCAAGCGUUGUCCGGAUUUAUUGGGCGUAAAGCGAGUGCAGGCGGUUCAAUAAGUCUGAUGUGAAAGCCUUCGGCUCAACCGGAGAAUUGCAUCAGAAACUGUUGAACUUGAGUGCAGAAGAGGAGAGUGGAACUCCAUGUGUAGCGGUGGAAUGCGUAGAUAUAUGGAAGAACACCAGUGGCGAAGGCGGCUCUCUGGUCUGCAACUGACGCUGAGGCUCGAAAGCAUGGGUAGCGAACAGGAUUAGAUACCCUGGUAGUCCAUGCCGUAAACGAUGAGUGCUAAGUGUUGGGAGGUUUCCGCCUCUCAGUGCUGCAGCUAACGCAUUAAGCACUCCGCCUGGGGAGUACGACCGCAAGGUUGAAACUCAAAGGAAUUGACGGGGGCCCGCACAAGCGGUGGAGCAUGUGGUUUAAUUCGAAGCAACGCGAAGAACCUUACCAGGUCUUGACAUCCAGUGCAAACCUAAGAGAUUAGGAGUUCCCUUCGGGGACGCUGAGACAGGUGGUGCAUGGCUGUCGUCAGCUCGUGUCGUGAGAUGUUGGGUUAAGUCCCGCAACGAGCGCAACCCUUGUCAUUAGUUGCCAUCAUUAAGUUGGGCACUCUAAUGAGACUGCCGGUGACAAACCGGAGGAAGGUGGGGAUGACGUCAAGUCAUCAUGCCCCUUAUGACCUGGGCUACACACGUGCUACAAUGGACGGUACAACGAGAAGCGAACCUGCGAAGGCAAGCGGAUCUCUGAAAGCCGUUCUCAGUUCGGACUGUAGGCUGCAACUCGCCUACACGAAGCUGGAAUCGCUAGUAAUCGCGGAUCAGCACGCCGCGGUGAAUACGUUCCCGGGCCUUGUACACACCGCCC